rnacentral:tRNA from 1 species
UGGGGCAUAGCUCAGCUGGGAGAGCACCUGCUUUGCAAGCAGGGGUCGUCGGUUCGAACUCCGUCUGCCUCCACCA